UACUAUGCAUUUGCCAGCUCUUUUCAUAAUUACUGACAGAUGUUAUUAUCAACCAAAGAAGUAUUAGUUCUUUGUAAGGGAAAUGCAUGUUAGACCAUUUCAUUUAUCAUUUUCUGUAAUUCAGGCUUUUUCCCUCUGAAAUACCAUUUUCUGUCUGUGCACUAGUAAAUCACAGGGCUUUCCAAAUUUCAUCUGUCUGAGUUCUUGUCAUGAUGACAAUACUGCAGAGUUUUGACAUUUUUUAGGGACUCCAUCUGAGAUGACAGCAACCCCUCAAAUUCAGAAGCACUUCUCUAACUGACAACAUCUCGCAUGAAAUGAAGUUUGUAAAAUUGCAACUUCAGCCUCCAUCAGAGGACCUCAGCUGCCCCAGCGAACAGGGCCUUCUGUACAGGGAAUGUGCUCCUCCUCGAAGCAUAGACAAGAAGCAGCCCUUAGAUCUCAUCAGGAAAUUCUACGGAGAGAAGGUCGGAAUCUACUUUGCUUGGGCUGGGCUAUUACAUUCAGAUGCUCCUCCUGGCAGCAGUCGUGGGGGUGACUUGCUUUCUUGUGACCCAGGUGGCUGUCUCCUUGAACUGAUGAUGCAGCUGACAAUAAUCAUGGGAGGACAGUCCAUCUGGAAUAACAUACAAGAGGUGUUACUUCCGUGUUUCUCAUGUGCAAAUUGGUAUCCCUGCAUGAGAACCAUAAACCAACAGAAAACCCAAAAGACCGAGGACAAUGAUGGGUUGCCGACAGCCCAAGCUUUUCUGCCACAGAAGAGUGGUUCCAGUCAGGAAGACUGAGCAAGAGGCUCAGAGUCUUAGCUAAGGACAAGCAAGUCGGGACUUCUAAUACGACCUAAUGUCAUCGACGGGGGAGGGCAGUUCAGCACAAGAAUGGAGCACCAGCUGGGUCAUGAAUCUAAUGAUGCCACAGUUUCGGGAGCAGAACAGACCACCCCACGAUGGGAAUGGGACAACCAUCUGUAUCCAACGGGCAAACUGGGGUUAUUUUAUGAAUACCCUGAAAUGAGAGUAAAAGAAUUUAUGUUGUCCUUCCAUCCAUCCACCACUCCAUGUUUUGUGUCCAUUCCUUCAACAGGUAUUCAGUUUGGGUUCACCACAGUAUAUGUGGCCUCUUUCCAGUGGCCCCUCUGUUGGCUCUGGAGAACAAUAUAUUGGAAAUCAGAGUGGGUACGUGGAAACUUGACUACCCAGUAUAGACGCAUUGUGCCAGAAAAAGCCCAGAACAUCGCAGCAUGGCAGCCCACCAUGCAAGGAACAGCAAUUCUGGCUUUGGUGGACCAAUGUGAAUAAAAAGGCUUCAUUGGGUGAAGACUUAGAAAAGUCCAAAAAUGCAUUGGCGUUGUUUCCUAAGGAAUCUAGUGUUGGGUACUGUUUAAUAUG